rnacentral:rRNA from 1 species
AACGAACGCUGGCGGCGCGUCUUAAGCAUGCAAGUCGAACGGCAAGAGAGGAGCUUGCUUCUCUCCUAGAGUGGCGGACUGGUGAGGAACACGUGGGUAAUCUACCCUUAAGAUGGGGAUAGCUGCUAGAAAUAGCAGGUAAUACCGAAUACACUCGGCAUAUCACAAGAGAUGUUGAGGAAAGGAAGCUACGGCUUCGCUUGAGGAUGAGCUUGCGUCCCAUUAGCUAGUUGGUGAGGUAAAGGCCCACCAAGGCGACGAUGGGUAUCCGGCCUGAGAGGGUGAACGGACACAUUGGGACUGAGAUACGGCCCAAACUCCUACGGGAGGCAGCAGCUAAGAAUAUUCCGCAAUGGACGGAAGUCUGACGGAGCGACGCCGCGUGGAAGAAGAAGGCUGAAAAGUUGUAAAAUCCUUUUGUUGAUGAAGAAUAAGGGUGAGAGGGAAUGCUCAUCUGAUGACGGUAAUCGACGAAUAAGCCCCGGCUAAUUACGUGCCAGCAGCCGCGGUAACACGUAAGGGGCGAGCGUUGUUCGGAAUUAUUGGGCGUAAAGGGCAUGUAGGCGGCUAUGUAAGCCUGAUGUGAAAUCCUGGGGCUUAACCCUAGAAUAGCAUUGGGUACUGUAUAGCUUGAAUUACGGAAGGGAAACUGGAAUUCCAAGUGUAGGGGUGGAAUCUGUAGAUAUUUGGAAGAACACCGGUGGCGAGGGCGGGUUUCUGGCCGAUAAUUGACGCUGAGAUGCGAAAGUGUGGGGAUCGAACAGGAUUAGAUACCCUGGUAGUCCACACUGUAAACGAUGUACACUAGGUGUUGGGGCAAGAGCUUCAGUGCCAAAGCAAACGCGAUAAGUGUACCGCCUGGGGAGUAUGCCCGCAAGGGUGAAACUCAAAGGAAUUGACGGGGGCCCGCACAAGCGGUGGAGCAUGUGGUUUAAUUCGAUGGUACGCGAGGAACCUUACCUGGGUUUGACAUCUAGUAGAAGGUCUUAGAGAUAAGGCCGGGUAGCAAUACCCUGCUAGACAGGUGCUGCAUGGCUGUCGUCAGC